rnacentral:lncRNA from 1 species
CUAUGAGGACAAGUUAUACAAGAGAUCAUACUCUUUGCCCUUCUAAAAUGCCUCCGACCUUCGGAAGCUAAAUACGCCCUGUGGGAGGUGCAUGAAGGAAUCUGCGGAAGCCAUCUGGGGGGCUAGAUCUUUAUCCCACAAGUUGCUCCGCCAAGGAUAUUACUGGCCGACAAUGCAUCAUGACUCGAUUGAGUACGUCAGAAAGUAUGACCGAUGUCAGAGAUAUGCCAACAUCCAGAGACAGCCCGCC